rnacentral:rRNA from 1 species
GUAAGGAAUAUUGCUCAAUGGGAGAAAUCCUGAAGCAGCAACGCCGCGUGGAGGAUGAAGGGUCUAUGACUUGUAAACUCCUGUAAAGAAGGAAAAAAUUCCCAUUUGAUGGGAGAUGAUCGUACUUCUGGAGUAAGCCCCGGCUAACUACGUGCCAGCAGCCGCGGUAAUACGUAGGGGGCAAGCGUUGUCCGGAUUUACUGGGUGUAAAGGGUGCUCAGGCGGAUUUGUAAGUCAGAGGUGAAAUCUUACAGCUUAACUGUGAAACUGCCUUUGAUACUGCAAGCCUAGAGUAUGGAAGAGAGUGAUGGAAUAUCUGGUGUAGCAGUGAAAUGCGUAGAUAUCAGAUAGAACACCAAUGGCGAAGGCAGUCACUUGGUCCAUUACUGACGCUAAAGCACGAAAGCGUGGGUAGCAAACA